ACAGUGGUAGUUCAGUAGUAGAAUUCUUGCCUUCCACACAGGAGACUCAGGUUUGAUUUCUGGCCAGUGCA
rnacentral:tRNA from 1 species